GACGAACGCUGGCGGCGUGCCUAAUACAUGCAAGUCGAACGGACCUUGCUUGGACGGAGUGGAGUACUUGUACAAAGCGAAGACUGAGCGCUGGUUAGUGGCGAACGGGUGAGUAACACGUAGGUAACCAACCGAUAAGACGAGGACAACUCAUGGAAACGUGAGCUAAUACUGGAUGUGGUAUAGAGAAGGCAUCUUUUCUAUAUUAAAGGAGCUUUUGGCUUCACUUAUUGAUGGACCUGCGGCGUAUUAGCUAGUUGGUAGGGUAGAAGCCUACCAAGGCGAUGAUACGUAGCCGAUCUGAGAGGAUAAACGGCCACACUGGGACUGAGAUACGGCCCAGACUCCUACGGGAGGCAGCAGUAGGGAAUUUUCCACAAUGGACGAAAGUCUGAUGGAGCAACGCCGCGUGUGUGAAGAAGGUUUUCGGAUUGUAAAGCACUGUUGUAUGGGAAGAAUAAGGUAACGAGGAAAUGAAUUACUGGUGACGGU
rnacentral:rRNA from 1 species